UGAGAGGAAGUCGCUGACACGGUUCUCUCUGUCUUUCCUUAAUCUCACACAUCCCACUUCCUCACCUGUUCCAGCAGCGCACGCAGUCAUUUGGUCCAGCAGAGCGCUCCUGCAGUGAUCAAAGGCCAUUUCCCGGUCCUCCCUCAAGCACGUCUCUACCACCCCCUGAUCUACACGAUUGUCUAGCAGGCACGACGAGGACACCCUACAGCGGGGGCCUUCUCCACCCCCUGUGCUGCUGACGUGCCGGGAUCGGUUAUCUCUGUCACAGUGUGUGAUUGCAACCUCUGGGUGACCCCUAUGCAAUAUAUAUCGUCACAGGUUAUCUACAUAAUGCAGGGGGAGAGGGUGAGAAAGCUAUCAGAGAGAUAGCGUGGGGCAAUCAGACCUUUCCUGUAGACAAUGACAGCCGUUGUAUGACUGGAAAUGUCUUUGAGGUGACAGUAAAUGAUUCAGGAUGUGUACGACGCAGGUGACCCGGUUCGGUGACUCCACAUCUUCUGAUUGACAAGCGUAAGUGUGUUUGUCACGGACACACCAAGGAUAUAGUCACCUGCUAAAGGUUCCCUUGGAACGCCGGUGGAUAAACGGAGGCCAUUGAUCUUCUCCAUCUGCAAAUGAUGCAUAAUCCCUCCCGUAAUGUGUCUUUCAUAAUCAUCAUGACAGGCCCCAAGAAUGCACGCAAAUAAAGAGCAAGCCAGGGAAGGAGCGAGCCAAUGAACAUGUUUUUAAGAAGCGGGCUAUUACGAGACAUUUGCCGUCUUUUUAUGAUAUCAAAUGAUCAAUUAUCCAGAUGGCUGAAAGAGGGAGCCUUGCCGACAACUGCUUUUCAUUGUUUUUUUGUUUUUAGUGCAACCAUAACUGUGCUUUGCCUGCACAUGGCAAUAAACAGAUGUUGGCAUUGUUUCGCUUUGAAAGGCAGGUAUUCCACCGCACCACAGUUCCCUGACCAGCCACUGAGCAGCUGAGACUGGCAUCUGCUGUACUGUUCGAGCAGGAGGGACUCACUGUUGGUAAGUCGCUGGUAACUUGGCAAUAAAGAAGAGCCUGGGAAUAUGAAGAACUAUGAUGCGCUUGAUGUGUUUCAAUCAUACCGUCUCAUCAGGACAUUUUUUUAUGAUCAUGAUGUUGGACUGUUUUACCAAACAGGCAGCAUGGCUGCAGGCGAAAAAAUCUCUGACAAUGUUGUUAAAUUGAAGAAUUUGGUUUUUGGUGGACAAAGAAGCUUAUAAUGAACAAAUUAUUCAGCAUUCAAGAUAUACUGUAGUAAAACUGCAGUAUUGAGCAGACACGUUGCUGGUUGACCAGGCCAGCAUCUUCAUGUUGUACACCAGAAAAAAUACUGCUCAACCAACCAACAUUUAAAGUGGUUGAUCAAGAGACAUUUGCAGUUUAAAUUAGAUAUCACAGUAGAAACUUACAGUAGUAAGAACGCCAGCACACUUACAAUACAUCCAAAACCCAACAUGGUGACAUUUCAAGAAUUAUCCUUAUUUUAAUAAAAGUGGAAAAGAGCAAAGGUUUAGUAACAGCAUAUAGUCAAAGCCAAAAGUUUUUACUCGGUGUAGUCUUCCACCUUUAAAUGCCUCGCAAUGUGCUUCAUAGAACCAAAUAAACCUCAUCUGAUGUUCCUUUGACAGGAAAUCACCUCCAUGCACAGGAGCAUUCUGUCAACGGGGAGUCGCCAUUUUCGAAAAUUCCCUCACUUUAUGGGUUAUGCUGUGCAGAAGGAAAACAAUUCUUGUAUAUUGUGAUGGUUUUCAUGUUUUAUUGUUUGUUUUUUGCCUUUCAAGUCCCAGUGGAGGUCGCGGGCUGCGAUUUCAGAUGUGCUUCACUGUUAAAGCAUAAUGUGUGUGUCAUUUUAGGAGAAAAUGGUGCAUCUGGAGACGCAGGUUGUGAAAAUGGCACCUGAUAUGACCUCCAUUUUAGAGAAUGGCGGAGGGAUAAUGGAAACCCCGGGAGGUAAAGAGUGCUGCCUUCUCCCCUGCCCUGCGACGAGACCCUGGGCCAGGCAUUAGAGAGGAUGAAUGACAAUACUGAGACCCCAGACGAUGCACUGCUUGUUUAUUUAUCAAAGCACCAGCUGAGCUACAGCCGUUGAGAUGAAGGGGAACGCAAAUGGAUAGCUUUCUUCAGCGCCACACAUGACCCCGCGUGUGUCCGGCUGAGUCUGGCCCAGCAGAUUGAUUAACAAAGGAUGCCGCUUCACGCUUUUUACCGAGCGUUUGGGCAGGCGA